rnacentral:tRNA from 1 species
GAAAAUUUAGUUAAUUAUAAUAUUGGACUGUCAGGCCAAAGUAAUAGAUUAGAUUCUAUAAUUUUUA